GCCCAACAGCGCGGCGUGCUGCCGCCUCGCGCCGGCUCCCGCCCUUUACACCGUCUCGCGCCAGUUCCCGCCCUUUGCACCGCCUCGCGCCAGUUCCCGCCCUUUGCACCGCCUCGCGCCGUUUCCCGCCCUUUGCACCGCCUCGCGCUUCCGCGCGAGCCGUUUCGCGCUCCUGGCGCCGCUGAGGUGAUGCCGCGUGGCCGCCUCACGGGCCGCGCUCAGCGCUGUGUGCGUCCGGCAUGAGGCAGUGCCUCGUCCCCAACCUCCAGAAUCGUCCUUCCGAGGGCACUGCGCCGUGUUCCUGAAGGUCUGAGGGAUGCCCUAUCGCUGACUCUACCAAAUGGGUGCUAUAAGAGUACUGUGUCGUGUUGGCAGAGGUCUGAGGCGCUGCAGUGUGAGGCAGCCAUCAAAACCAGCCUUCCACGAGUUGUGUUUGUGCAGGCCUGAGGUGCUGGCCUGCCACUUGGACUUCAGAACGUGCCCUCCAGGAGCACUGUGCUCUGCCUGCCCCGGCCUGGGGCGCUGCUGGAUCACUCGGCCUCUCAAGGUCAGCCCUCUGAGAGCACUGCAGUGUGUUCUUAUGGGCCUGAGGCACUGCUCUGUGCCUGGCCAAAUGUCGGCCCUCCAGGAGCCCUCCCAGGCUUGCACAGCCCUGAGGUGCUGCAGCGUUACCUCAGUUCUUCCCAGUGCUUCUCAGUCCGCUUGGAGGCUGCUUGCUGUCCCACUGUGGGCACAGCUUUCCAUUUCCCUGCUGAAGGAUCUGUUGGGUGGUGCUGGGAUACUGCAGGGGAUUUUGGGUGAGGGUACCAUGCACACCGCCAGCUUGGUUCCUGCCAUCACCCAGGAGAAGGGCUCUGGGCCAUCCCUGGCCUGCUGUGCUGUUGCUCAGCGUGUCUGAGGCAGGCUGUGAGGCGUAGGGUUCAGAAUUCACAUCACCAGACUUGUUACUGCUGUACUGCAGGCCUCCAGCAAGCACAAGGUGAACUACAGCCGUCUUGUUUUCUCAGCAUGCCAGUCUCCAGCUACACAAACUGGGCUGUUCGGAGCUGUGGAUGAGGAUAAAACUUCAAAAAACUGGGAUUAUGUCCAUUAGAUAAGCAUUUCUUGCUAGUAAAAUACGGCUGUAAAGCAGUGAGUCUGCAUUAAUUUGCAGUACUUCACAGUGCAGGACUUUGCUCUCAGACAGUGCAUACCAUUCAGAAGAGAAAUCUGCCUGUCCACUGUGGUGGGAACCCUGAUAUGGACGAACUGAGCUCCCCAGGCUAACCCAGAUAUGAGUCCCUGAUGGUGACCUGCAGCUGGGGAAGUCCUUCCCAGCUGCUGCUGGCUGUACAUGGAAGGCAUCUGUAUGGUGCUGUGCUUCAGUGCUGGAAUGCUGAACAGAACAUCACGUGUGAGAAGCAGCUCCAGGACCACGCAUUUGACAGACCGGGGUUAAAGAUGGAUUACGUCCCCACACCAGGCAGCCUGCAUCUCUGCUGCUCAGCCCCCCCAAGCAAGGACAGCUUUUCCAGGGACUUCAGAUGCCCAGCUUGGGUGAUGGGCUCUUCCAGAAAGUCCCAUGUGUCACUGAUGGAGCUGCUGCGCAUCAGGCUUCUCUACAGGGCUGGCCCUGGUGGUGAGUGGCUGAGCUUUUAAAAAUCA
rnacentral:lncRNA from 1 species